rnacentral:lncRNA from 1 species
GGGGGGGUAGGAUGAAAUUUGAAAAAAAUAGGCAGGACAGGAAUUUUGUGUAAAAAAAAAAGGCAGGAUGAGACACUUGCAAAAAGUCAGAUGACAAUUUAGGUAAAAAAAAAGUCAGGAUAAACUAAAAAAAAAAGGCAGGACCGAAUAGAGUGAAAAAUAAAAAGGCAGGACAGAGAUUACAACUAAAAAAAAAUGCAGGUCAAAAUUUUUCAUCCUAGCCCCCCC